rnacentral:lncRNA from 9 species
ACAGAAAUGAUGGGAAAACUGAAAUCAACUGUCAGGAAGAUGCAAUUGAUCAGAAUCUGUUAAUAAACGAAGUCAACUGCUCUUCUUUCUGACAAACAUAUCCAUUUGUUUGAUCAACAACAUCCAAGGCUAAAGAAUUUGCUGAAAUCUUGAUUUAUAUACUUCAAAUUGGGUAAAUAUGUCAAUAGAACAUAUUUUAUAUUAUCUAUAUUAUGAU